AGGGAAAGGCGAAAAGAACCCCGGCGAGGGGAGUGAAAAAGAACCUGAAACCGUGUACGUACAAGCAGUGGGAGCACCCUUUGGGGUGUGACUGCGUACCUUUUGUAUAAUGGGUCAGCGACUUAUAUUCUGUAGCAAGGUUAACCGAAUAGGGGAGCCGGAGGGAAACCGAGUCUUAACCGGGCGUUAAGUUGCAGGGUAUAGACCCGAAACCCGGUGAUCUAGCCAUGGGCAGGUUGAAGGUUGGGUAACACUAACUGGAGGACCGAACCGACUAAUGUUGAAAAAUUAGCGGAUGACCUGUGGCUGGGGGUGAAAGGCCAAUCAAACCGGGAGAUAGCUGGUUCUCCCCGAAAGCUAUUUAGGUAGCGCCUCGUGAAUUCAUCUCCGGGGGUAGAGCACUGUUUCGGCUAGGGGGCCAUCCCGGCUUACCAACCCGAUGCAAACUGCGAAUACCGGAGAAUGUUAUCACGGGAGACACACGGCGGGUGCUAACGUCCGUCGUGAAGAGGGAAACAACCCAGACCGCCAGCUAAGGUCCCAAAGUCAUGGUUAAGUGGGAAACGAUGUGGGAAGGCCCAGACAGCCAGGAUGUUGGCUUAGAAGCAGCCAUCAUUUAAAGAAAGCGUAAUAGCUCACUGGUCGAGUCGGCCUGCGCGGAAGAUGUAACGGGGCUAAACCAUGCACCGAAGCUGCGGCAGCGACGCUGAUGCGUUGUUGGGUAGGGGAGCGUUCUGUAAGCCUGCGAAGGUGGCCUGUGAGGGUUGCUGGAGGUAUCAGAAGUGCGAAUGCUGACAUAAGUAACGAUAAAGCGGGUGAAAAGCCCGCUCGCCGGAAGACCAAGGGUUCCUGUCCAACGUUAAUCGGGGCAGGGUGAGUCGACCCCUAAGGCGAGGCCGAAAGGCGUAGUCGAUGGGAAACGGGUUAAUAUUCCCGUACUUGGUGUUACUGCGAAGGGGGGACGGAGAAGGCUAUGUUGGCCGGGCGACGGUUGUCCCGGUUUAAGCGUGUAGGUGUGUGUUCCAGGUAAAUCCGGUUCACUUUAACACUGAGGCGUGACGACGAGGCACUACGGUGCUGAAGCAACAAAUGCCCUGCUUCCAGGAAAAGCCUCUAAGCAUCAGGUAACAUCAAAUCGUACCCCAAACCGACACAGGUGGUCAGGUAGAGAAUACCAAGGCGCUUGAGAGAACUCGGGUGAAGGAACUAGGCAAAAUGGUGCCGUAACUUCGGGAGAAGGCACGCUGACACGUAGGUGAAGUGAUUUACUCAUGGAGCUGAAGUCAGUCGAAGAUACCAGCUGGCUGCAACUGUUUAUUAAAAACACAGCACUGUGCAAACACGAAAGUGGACGUAUACGGUGUGACGCCUGCCCGGUGCCGGAAGGUUAAUUGAUGGGGUCAGCGCAAGCGAAGCUCCUGAUCGAAGCCCCGGUAAACGGCGGCCGUAACUAUAACGGUCCUAAGGUAGCGAAAUUCCUUGUCGGGUAAGUUCCGACCUGCACGAAUGGCGUAAUGAUGGCCAGGCUGUCUCCACCCGAGACUCAGUGAAAUUGAACUCGCUGUGAAGAUGCAGUGUACCCGCGGCAAGACGGAAAGACCCCGUGAACCUUUACUAUAGCUUGACACUGAACAUUGAGCCUUGAUGUGUAGGAUAGGUGGGAGGCUUUGAAGUGUGGACGCCAGUCUGCAUGGAGCCGACCUUGAAAUACCACCCUUUAAUGUUUGAUGUUCUAACGUGGACCCGUGAUCCGGGUUGCGGACAGUGUCUGGUGGGUAGUUUGACUGGGGCGGUCUCCUCCUAAAGAGUAACGGAGGAGCACGAAGGUUGGCUAAUCCUGGUCGGACAUCAGGAGGUUAGUGCAAUGGCAUAAGCCAGCUUGACUGCGAGCGUGACGGCGCGAGCAGGUGCGAAAGCAGGUCAUAGUGAUCCGGUGGUUCUGAAUGGAAGGGCCAUCGCUCAACGGAUAAAAGGUACUCCGGGGAUAACAGGCUGAUACCGCCCAAGAGUUCAUAUCGACGGCGGUGUUUGGCACCUCGAUGUCGGCUCAUCACAUCCUGGGGCUGAAGUAGGUCCCAAGGGUAUGGCUGUUCGCCAUUUAAAGUGGUACGCGAGCUGGGUUUAGAACGUCGUGAGACAGUUCGGUCCCUAUCUGCCGUGGGCGCUGGAGAACUGAGGGGGGCUGCUCCUAGUACGAGAGGACCGGAGUGGACGCAUCACUGGUGUUCGGGUUGUCAUGCCAAUGGCACUGCCCGGUAGCUAAAUGCGGAAGAGAUAAGUGCUGAAAGCAUCUAAGCACGAAACUUGCCCCGA
rnacentral:rRNA from 1 species